UAGGGAAUCUUCGGCAAUGGGGGCGAACCCUGACCGAGCAACGCCGCGUGAGUGAAGAAGGUUUUCGGAUCGUAAAGCUCUGUUGUAAGAGAAGAACGUGUGUGAGAGUGGAAAGUUCACACAGUGACGGUAACUUACCAGAAAGGGACGGCUAACUACGUGCUAG
rnacentral:rRNA from 1 species